UCCNGACAAUGCCUGGGGUAAUUAGCUGAA
rnacentral:piRNA from 1 species